AUGAAAUUAAUUCUAUGCUUCAUAUGUUUCUUGGUCACCAUUCUGAAAGGUGUCUUCUCAGAGGUCCAACUGGUGGAGUCUGGAGGAGAUAUCAGAAGGCCUGGAGAAUCUCUCUUCCUCACUUGUAAAGCGUCUGGGUUCACCUUUGAUAGCUAUGACAUGAUCUGGGUGAGGCAGGCUCCUGGGAAGGGUCUGGAGUGGCUGGCUUACAUAAGCAAUCUAGCAGUGACCCUGACUUAUGCUGACUCAGUGAGAGGACGCUUCACCAUCUCCAGGAGCAACCCUUCCAACACGUUGCAUCUGCAAAUGAACAGCCUGGAGCCUGGGGACACUGCUUUGUAUUACUGUGCCAGGAGGACACAGUGGGAAGAAGUCAGUCUAAAACAAGGCAAAAACCCUCCUCUGCCUCUGGCAGCUCUCCAGAACUGA